CUGGAAAGCCCCAGGAUUGGGGAAUGGCUUCCUGCUGCCUCAGGCCACGGCCUCACCCAGCGCUGCCCAGGGUGAGAGGAAGAUGAAGGUCGCUGUGCUCAGCGUGGCCCUGCUCUUCACCAUCCUGCUGAGCUCCCCAGCAGAUGCCAAGGCACUCUUGGCAGGAACCCAAAAUGAUCUCCAGGAGAUUGAUUUAGGGGACGUUGAUAUCCUGAAGACGGCUCAGGUGGGUACCAG